ensembl:lncRNA
AAUGGACUUGUGCAUCAAGUUUUGUUUAUAAUUUCAAGGUAAGUGGAUGCAUGAAGCCUCUGGAUUUUAGGUUAGUCUAGGUGGAAUGAAAUCUGUUUCUGAUAAAGCUAGACCUGCAGGGGCUGUGUAGUGGACCCUUUCCUUGGGUGGGUUGCCUUCCUCUUCAUCAUUUGCAUUGAUUUGACUUGUGUGCUGUCAUGUGCCUGGGAGGGUCAUUAUGAGGGAUGGUCUUCCGAAGCCGUGACAAGUCAGCUGCAAGGAUGUCGUUGAGUAUUUCAUUUGUUACACGAUGUAGUUUCCUCUUAUGAGGACCAAGGGGGAGAGAGUUCUCUGAUAGCUUUUAUUUUUAUCUUAAGAUGCUGACUCGUGUAACUGAUGGGAUUGUCCUGUUUUUGUUGGCUGCUAGAAUUCUUAGAGGCAAACCUCUGACCUUCCUCGAGCAAAUGUGCAGAAUUUUAUAGAAUACGUUAAUUUGGUGCAUGAACCUACUCCCAGGACAGCCUCUCUUUCCUGCCUUCAGCUUUCUUUUGUCCCAUUUUUCUCUUUCUCCUCUUAGCUCACAGGUGGUGAAAGGAGGCUUUGAAACUGGGAUUCAGACUUGGAGCCGCCUGUCUCCAGAGCGUGUGCUAUCAGUUUCUGGUUGAAGCUCGCAGAUCUCAUCAUCUGAGUCAUGGAGCGUGCACGGCCUUGUUAGGUGCACGCUGCCUGGUCUUCUCCUGUUGCAGUCCCAGUAGGGCUGGGAGUUUCUUGUUUGAUUCUGAUGGUUGUGUCCCUGCGACAUGUGGUGGUGGUCUUGAAAACUCUGUGCUGGAAACCUUAGUCGGUGGAUCUCGCAAUUACUUAAGAAAGUCCUGCAGUUUAAAACAUAGUGGGGUCAGAAGUCAGAGCAGACGGUGAGUCACAUUCAAACAGCUGUUCUCACCCACUCCCCUUGUUCGCUGGCAGAAUCUCCGUCCCGCUACAGAGAAUCUAACAUUUUUGCCUGUUGGCUCAUGAAAGGCUUGCAUAGAACUUAGAGUGGUAUUAACAUAGCCAUUCUCAAUAAGCAAUAGUGAUUUAUGUUUUAUUUUACUUCUAAGUACCAAAGGCUUGACUUUAGGAUAAGUAUGUAGGGGUAUGUAUGUAUUUGUAUAAUUUCUUUUAUGCUGAAGCAGUUUUUUUUUUGAGGACCAAAAUAAUUUCCUAAUAUAUAAAUGAUUGCCAGUUUUAAACAGCACAGUAUUUUCUCAUUUGUUUGUAAUACUGAGUUGGUCUAUUUAGUAGAUGCUAGUCUUGUAUUUCUAUUCCAGAAGACUACUUACUACGUUAUUCCCUCAAUUAACCUAAGUCAAGUUCAAGCUUUGGUGAUGGUUAGUUAUAAUCUUUUUGUGUGUGUGUGAGGAAGAUUGGCCCUGAGCUAACAUCUGUGCCAGUCUUCCUCUAUUUUGUAUGUGGGAUGCCACCACGGCAUGGUUUGCUGAGCGGUGUGUAGGGCUGUGGCUGGGAUCCAAACCCACAAACCACGGGCCACCGAAGUGGAGCACAAGAACUUAACCACUACACCACUGGGCUGGCCCCAGUUAUAAUCUGCUUUUCAUAUAAAUCUUCAAAGGCAAAGUUUAAAUAAACAAAUAAAAAACAAAUAAAGCCAUCAUUUAAAAAAUCGUUAAUGGCACAUUGUAACUUUUAUAGCUUCUUUUAUAGUUAUAGGCCCGCCUUUGAAAAAUACAGAGCAUUUUAAGUGAAUAAUCAUAUACAGAAAAAUCGUGAUACAGAUAUAUUAAUAUCCUCUCAAUAAAGUUGAAGUCUGUGCUGUAAAAAGCCUUGCUGAAAACGUGAAGAUUUACUUUCCAUCUGAACAACAAACCUAUAAAUCUUGACUCGUUGAUCUCACUGGAGAAUUCUUUCUUUCUCUGUUUAGUGAGAAAUAGGGCCCAAUUUAAUGGAACUUUCGCUGCCUCCAACUUUUCUAGAAUGAGGGAAGGUUUUGGUGGUUGAAUUUGUUAAGAAUGAGACUUCCUUUCCUCCAUUCCUAAAAGACCUGGGAGUUCCCGUCUGCUGCCGGGCACGGGGCUCCGGAAGGUGAGUUUGGGGCCACUACGUAUGAUGGUGCAAGAUGUGCAUUGUACAGCGAUACCAGAUAGAGUCUCCAUUUCCUAACGUGUGCAGAAGAACUGUCUGCUCCCCAGGCUAGGCAUCUCUGGGUCUGUAAUCACUUGGAAAGGGUGCCUUGAUGUAAUGUGUACAAGCGGGAAAGGGACGAUAGCAGUAGGCUGUAUUUCUGAGACUCACGUUCUUUCCCAUACCAUCACUGCCCUCCUUGUCCUGCGCCUGUGUGAGCAGCUCACACAUAAUUUAUGUCUUAGUUGCUGAACCGAAGACCAGUUAUCCAUUGCACAUCAUGUCGGCAAACCUUACGACUUCCCUGGAGAAGCGAACACUUAUUUGCAGUUGCUUUUCAAUGUUCAUAUUCUACGUUUUGGUCAUUAUAAAUGUGAGUGGGGAUUUAGUGCCCUGGAGCCAUAAAUCUUAAAUAUUUCAAACUAUUUUUAACAGGACAGUCUAUAGUCAGCACUACUCUUGGACAGUAAAGUUUUUAAUCUAAAAACAUUUAAAAAGGUGUAUUCACUUAGUUAUCGAAUUGCCAUAGGGCGGAAACUGUUUGAUUCUGAUAAGUAUAUAUACCAUUUCUUUUUUAAUCCAGUAAGUGCUUCCAUGUCUCUUUUUAAUUAAAUAAAUUACCUUUCGGUUAAAUUAGUCACUGGACAUUUUCUGGCUGAAUAAGGCACUUCCUGACACCAUCAGGAUUUGAUGGGAAUUGAGACAUAGUAGGAGUUUUGGUCAUACUGUUUGCCUUUUUUGCUCCCUAGAGUAAUGAGGUGGAUUUGCCAUAGCAGAUGGUUUGCAUGAGUAUAUAUAAUUGUCGUAGAGUUUGAGAUUAAGAAGUUUUUGCUUUUAUUUUAACACUUAGAUGUUUUUCCACCUAUCUGUUUAGAAAGAAGUCAAAUGUUCGCUUUAGAUCAGCGUGGCAGGGAUCUUGAGUUGCCGUAUGAUCCAAGUAUAGUGCCUAAGGCUUCACAGCUGCAUGAAUCUUCUAUUUCUACAGGCUUUCAUCAAGGAGAUUCCUCGUUGUCCCUGGAGAAUUUUUUCUCCAUAGUCCUUUCUCUCAGGGAAUUCAUCUUUAUGUGUGAACUAGGUCCCUUUGAUUUAGGCCUAUUUCUUAGUCUGGUGUCAAUAGAGAUAAAUUAGGAUUAGGUUGUUACUGUUUGUAAAUUAGUAAGAUUAUAGUAAUCAAAAUCUCUUCCCUGCCUCCCCCCAUAUGAAAUAAGGUCAUUCGAUUUAUGGGAGAAGCACUCAUCUCAAAGAAAGGAGAGAGAGGGUAAUUGCUACCAAAGACAGAAUAAUUUCCAGAUGAUCAAUAACAGCUCCUCUUUGUGAAGGGCUAGUUUGGCCAUAAAGGACAGGUCCUCUUGCAGUUUUACAGAUUGGUUGAUUUUGUCUUUUCUGUCCGCUGUCGGAGGCUUCUUCUACAGGUGGAGUAAUACUAGCUAGAAGACUAGAUGGUGCUUUAUUUGGAAGCUUUUGGGUGUAAGUGACAGAAAACUCAACAGAAGCAGCUUGAACACGGGGGGCAUUUCUUAUCUCACAUAACAAAAGGUCUCUAAGUGGGAGUUUCCAAGGCUGGUUGGUCCAGCAGCUCAGUGACUUCAAGUCUUUAUGUAACUACACAUCCAGAGACAUGAAAA